GGAGCAGGGGGCGCCAUGGAGCAGUAGAGACGGGGUUUCGCCAUAUUGGCCAGGCUGGUCUCCACCUCCGGUGAUCCGCCUGCUUCUGCCUCCCAAAGUGCUGGGAUUACAGGCCUGAGGCACCGCGCCUGGCCUGAAGAAUCUUUUCAAAUGCAACAGGGAGAGGGAUAGUUGUAUCAGAAUGUUUUCAACGAAAACCACCACCUGGAGUGCCAAACUGCAACGGGGACCUAGACAGAUUCAGAUUGUGCCACUGGAGCCCUGGAAUUGGAUUGCUGGAUAGACUCACUGUGUUAAUUUAUUUAAUCUUGGAUCAAGAUCCACAGCAUGGAAGAAGACUGAACCAUCACUUAGAGGAGAGCUGCUUACCCCUCACUGGGUUGUGGCAUGAACAAUAAAUACACUUUUAAGAUACUGAAAACUAUGAGUUGAAGGUGGUAGAGCCAGAGACUGCAAAGAGGCCUGUACUUUGAGGACAACUUGGCGAACAGUCCACGCCUAUGAUAUGAGAAAGAGUUUAAGAAACAUAAUACAUCAGAUCUAUUUCAAAGGUCAACUUAGAAGGGAAAUGUUUCGAUUGAGAGGAAGAUGUUAGCUGAGAAUGAAAGGCUGUUUUAGAUGGCAAGUUCAAAGAAAGGAGACUACUAUG
rnacentral:lncRNA from 10 species